rfam:Schistosoma haematobium scaffold877_1, whole genome shotgun sequence.
AUCCAGGUGACGAGUCCUAAGCAGGACAAAACGCUUGUCCUGGAU